rnacentral:rRNA from 1 species
UGGGGAAUUUUGGACAAUGGGCGAAAGCCUGAUCCAGCAAUGCCGCGUGUGUGAAGAAGGCCUUCGGGUUGUAAAGCACUUUUGUCCGGAAAGAAAUCCUUGGCUCUAAUACAGUCGGGGGAUGACGGUACCGGAAGAAUAAGCACCGGCUAACUACGUGCCAGCAGCCGCGGUAAUACGUAGGGUGCAAGCGUUAAUCGGAAUUACUGGGCGUAAAGCGUGCGCAGGCGGUUUGCUAAGACCGAUGUGAAAUCCCCGGGCUCAACCUGGGAACUGCAUUGGUGACUGGCAGGCUAGAGUAUGGCAGAGGGGGGUAGAAUUCCACGUGUAGCAGUGAAAUGCGUAGAGAUGUGGAGGAAUACCGAUGGCGAAGGCAGCCCCCUGGGCCAAUACUGACGCUCAUGCACGAAAGCGUGGGGAGCAAACAGGAUUAGAUACCCUGGUAGUCCACGCCCUAAACGAUGUCAACUAGUUGUUGGGGAUUCAUUCCUUAGUAACGUAGCUAACGCGUGAAGUUGACCGCCUGGGGGAGUACGGUCGCAAGAUUAAAACUCAAUGAAUUGACGGGGUCAUAGCUGUUUCCU